ensembl:lncRNA
GCACAAGAUCCUCCCAGCCUCUGUCUACUCUCAUUUCAAAAUUGGAUACAGUUUUGCUAACAGUAAGAUAUACUGACCAUUAAACAUUUUACAUCAUUUUCUCUGUGUUCCAGAUACAAAAUCUGUGAUUGGUCUAUGCUGAAACUUCUGUUGAAUUCCAGAGAUGCAUAUUCCUAGGAAAGCUAUAUGCAGAAAAUAGCGAUGUGACAGAUGUGAUCAAUAUCAAAACUCUUUUGUUUGUCCUUGUCAGUGAACUUUACAUACUGUAUUCCAUAUCUACCUUAACGAGGUACAGAAACACUAAGACAAACAAAAGAGAGAUUAGCUUUCUUCUUUUGAGCUAUCCUUUGCUCUUUGUUCAACAACUUUCUCUUAAUUCCUAGAAAAUGCCAGACAGCAGAGGUUGCUGUAGUCUUCUAGGAAAUGUUUCAUCCUCUUUGUUGCUCAUGCUGGAGUCUUGCAAUCUAUUCAACUGUGCCCAUCUCAGACUUCUUUCUGACCCUCUCACUGUCUGCCAGUUCUCCAAAAGCUGCCUUUACCUGAGCAUGUUUUAUGGAAGAAUUGAUUUCCUUCUCCUGCCUUGGAUUUUUUCCUGGACUCAGAAGGCUACAGACAAGAAAAGGCUACAGGAAGCCUGUUUGGUGCCAAAGAAAGUGUAUUUAAUUAAUGCCAACACAGCAGGUCUUUGACUGCAAAAACAAGGAAGACAAAAAGCUGUUUAAAAGACUUAACUUUCAAACAAACACUAGAAGUCUCAAUGCCUUUCUGUUCAGUGUAAGCAGGCUUCUUUACCAAAACAGAUUUUUUGCACUUCAUUAUUGGCUUUAAAUCUUACAAGCAUGACCACAGAUCUGGUGCUGUGGUGGACAUCUGGACAUAGAUGGUUAGUGAGAUGCUAGCAGCAAUUAGAAAGCCCCUUCUUCAGGAGGCAUAUGAAUCUUGUAUUUUCCACAUUUUAAAUUUCAUUGCAACUGAUGCACGUUUUUAAGAAUAAAAGCAAAGUAAC